rnacentral:rRNA from 1 species
UACGGAGGAUGCGAGCGUUAUCCGGAUUUAUUGGGUUUAAAGGGUGCGCAGGCGGCGAGUUAAGUCAGCGGUAAAAUUUCGGGGCUCAACCCCGUCGUGCCGUUGAAACUGAUGUUCUUGAGUGGGCGAGAAGUAUGCGGAAUGCGUGGCGUAGCGGUGAAAUGCAUAGAUAUCACGCAGAACGCCGAUUGCGAAGGCAGCUUACCGGCGCUCAACUGACGCUGAGGCACGAAAGUGCGGGUAUCGAACAGG